UACAUGUGGGGCAAGCGUUGUUCGGAAUUACUGGGCAUAAAGGGUGCGUAGGCGGCUUGUUAAGUCAGGGGUGAAAGUUUUCGGCCCAACCGGAAAAUUGCCUUUGAUACUGGCGAGCUCGAGUGCGUGAGGGGUUGGUAGAAUACCUAGUGUAGUGGUGAAAUACGUAGAUAUUAGGUGGAAUACCGGUGGCGAAGGCGGCCAACUGGCCUAGCAUUGACGCUGAGAUACGAAAGCGUGGGGAUCAAACAGG
rnacentral:rRNA from 1 species